GUAAUGUUUGUCAUGUCCAGAUUGGCAGAUUGUAUGUUGGUUAUCCUCUAUUCUACCACUUAAUAUUUUGAAACACUUGCACAAAACAUCAUGAAAGUUAAAAAUAAUAUAUAUUUUACAUGUAAGGGAUCAGUUCAGUUCUUUAUUAAAUUUCUAAGCUAAAAAAUCUGCUUUUACAUUUCCUAUAAGCUUAUUCGGGUUUGCUAUGGAACAAUGGAACGUUAAGUAAGUAUCGUAAAGCAUUCAUCCUUUGUUUUCUGACUAACUAAAUAAUUAAUCGAAAAAACAACAAAAAAAUCGAUGCAGAUCAUAGACUUCAUGUUAGAACAAAACAGAUUUUAUUUUCUUUGUUUAUCAUAAGAAAUGGAAAACGAAAUUUGAGACAAAGGACAAAGUUUGUGUUUAGCGUUUCCGAGUUGACUGGUUGGCCAAUUCCGGAGGGCUAGGUCGAUAUGGGACUGCAAACCAACUAAUUAUUGGCAUUUCCCAGUGCUAGAAUUUUGUUUUUCUAUUUCUUGUAUUGCGUCCUUUUCGUACAUGUCCUUAAUGCCGUUAGACGCUUCCUCCCAAGACAAUUGCCACCUCAUUUGAGCUUCCUCAAUCUCACCGCUGGGAAUAUAAAGCAUUGGUUGUAUUUCAAAUAUGCCCUUCAAGAUGUACUUGUCGAAAGCUUGGGCGUGCAUUAUGGUGGAGUGAUACAUCUUAUUGGCGCAGACAUCUGACGUCAUUUGAAGGGACUUAUUCAAUUCUUCAAUUGCGUUAUUCUUCUCACCUGUUUCGGCUGAAAAGUCAGUUAGUAAUGCUUUAGUCAAGUCAUUUCUCAUCUUGUUAAAAUAACGAUGGAUGCCUGACCAUUUGUCGUGAUACUGGCCGAGGUACUCUAUGCAAUCUGCUACGCAGCGAGGCAUUUUCCCCGUAUUCAACUGGAUCCCAAACAUGUUCUCGUGAGCUUUCACGAAGGCUUCGUAGGAAUACUCGUUGAUUUGAAAUAGGACUCGAGCUCCGGCAAUCAACACUUUGCCCAUGAAAGCCACGCUCUUGGAGGCCGCAGCAAUAAAAUCAUUCAAGUCUGUUACAUCAUCGAUUUCCUGUUUUCUAAAUUCGUCGCUGGCUGCAACUGUCAAUAAUAAAAUAAAACUUAGAAUUAUAAGACUUGAACUUUCGUAUUCCAAUUAAUUGAUAGAAA